GUGAGGGCUCUGAAUAGUUAUCGUUUUUUGUAAGGUGGGAAAUACACUUUUCAGUGAAAUAGAACUUAAAGAUGAAGAUACUAUAUGCCCUCCAUAACAACCUUUCUGGACUGCCCCUGAGAACCCCAUUGAUUGCUCGAUCAAACUGCGCCCAUCCACUUUAUUGCCUCACUUUCCUUUUCCCAAAAGGGAUUACUUAUUCAAUCGGGACUCCCACUCCCUAUCGACCAUAAUUUGAGUGCAGUUAAGUCCAUCCACAAUUCCGAUUUCUUUUUUUAUCAGUGAGAGAGGAAUAUAAUUUUGAUUCAGUUUUUCUUUAUUCCCCUUCGCAACGAGCGUUUUCAGUUGGUUUUGGCCGGGCUGCAACCUUGCUGGCCUCCUCAUUUAUGCAAAUUUCACUCAAUAUGCAAAACAUAAUCAUUUUGUUAUAAGCCACGGAGAACGCACUGCGGAGUGGACCAGAACUGAACACGCCCUCAGCCUGGAGAGCUGGCGAGCUGGAGAGGGGAUGCAGCGACUCCUCCCGAGCAAUAAAGCAGCCAGCUCUAAAUAACUCAAACUAUCACGAUGCCACAGGAGAUCGGUUCGGGAUCGGGUUCGAGGUGGAGGAUCCCAGCAUCCCAGGGGCGGCAGGAGGAAGAAGGAGGCGGGCAGGCAGGCACACACUCAAGGCGGAGGACGAUCAAUCGUUUAAAAAUUUAAAUAAUAUAUAUGUUUGCCAGUCGGCGGGCAACUCGCAACUCGCAGCCCGCAACGCGAAACUGUAACAGCCGAGAGAUGUCGGAGUUGAAGUAGGUGGAGCAGAUUCAGCACCAGCCAAGGAAGCGGGAGCAGGAGCAGCAGCAGCAGAAGGAGCAGGAGGAUUGGGGCAGGGACAGGAGUCGUGGCAAGUUCAGUGCAUUGUCGGAGCAGCCACAAAGGAGCUGGGGCUUUGGACCAAAACAGGAUGGUGCAGAAGGGAUCUUCGGGGUCCCGAAGAGCAGACAGCUAGGCUGCUUAUUAAGCGAUCUAGUGAUCGCCGAUCGCCGGCCACAGUGUUUUUACAGGUUAAAGAACUUUUUUGGAGCAUGUCGGGGUGUGUCUGCCGAGUGCAUCUCCCCUGGCAGCCCGCAGUUCCCUUCCUAGGCAAGCCCGGCAGUUAAUUGAUUCGAGACGAACUUCUUUGGAAAUCUCACUUGAAAUAAGAUUUAUCCGGCCGUCGAUCAAUGCAGAAUCAUUGAAGCAAAUUAAUGAGGCACCGGGUUGACAAUCCCCCAGGAAUCGGGGAUGAUGAGUCACAUCCAUCCAGCGGAAAGCUGAUCAUGGAGAUCCCCACUCCGAGUACGGAGUUCGGAGUACCGAGUACCAAUCCCCCGCCACCCGCGCACAGAAAUCGCUCUUGAUGGAGGUGUGACAGCUGCGCUUUGAUUGUUUUGGGCUUGGGUUUGGCUUUGGCUUUCGACUUCCACUCAGGGGAUCAGCUAGGAAUCCCUCGGACAUUCCCCGUUGAUCGGCUUACGCUGAUUGAUAAUGUAGCUCAAUUAAUUGUGGAUUGUAACUUCCAGUAGCUGCUGGCCGGCAUUCAAAUGCAACUGUCAGCAGACCCGUCAGCCGGAGCUCAAAGCUCUGACCCAUUGGAGCGGAAUGAAUAGUAAGCCGCCGACUGGCAAACCGCAAUUGGAUGUAAACGCUUCCACCUCCAGAGAUCCUCAGCAGCAGCGCUCAGAUCCCAGACAACCGCAGAGAUAAUCCCGAAUGUGGUCGCAUUUUGUCGCCAUCUUUCCGCCUUUGCUUUUGGUUAAUGAAAUUCAAAAUUCAUUUCGUUUGAUUGCCGCUGCCAGGCAAGCAAAUCCAAUUGUCUGCCGUUCGAGGUGAGCCGAAAGGUGUGGCACUUGCCCCCCGAAAGCCACUGUUGCGGUGGCUGCCACAGGAUGACGGCCUAUCCGAGCGAUCUGGAAAUAUGAGAUGUGAGAUGGGGCCAACUGCCUCGCCUCCACCUCUCACAGAGGUUCUUCCUGGCAGGCGAAAGGUUUCCAAUGGUUGCCAGCCAAAGCUCAAUCAGUUUACGCGCCACUCAAUGAACUAAUGUCUAAGAAAAUUCUUUGAGGAACGAAAGCAUCUGCUCCAGACCAUCAAAUUUCUAGUUUAAAUCAAGCAUAAUGUUAUAACUACAGCUCUUAUUAGUUCAUAUCAAAC